rnacentral:rRNA from 1 species
UGGAUCCAGACUUUGAUCAUGGCUCAGGAUGAACGCUAGCUACAGGCUUAACACAUGCUAGUCGAGGGGAAACGAUAUUGGAAGCUUGCUUCCGAUAGGCGUCGACCGGCGCACGGGUGAGUAACGCGUAUCCAACCUGCCCAUCACUUGGGGAUAACCUUGCGAAAGUAAGACUAAUACCCAAUGACGUCUCUAGAAGACAUCUGAAGGAGAUUAAAGAUUCAUCGGUGAUGGAUGGGGAUGCGUCUGAUUAGCUUGUUGGCGGGGUAACGGCCCACCAAGGCGACGAUCAGUAGGGGUUCUGAGAGGAAGGUCCCCCACAUUGGAACUGAGACACGGUCCAAACUCCUACGGGAGGCAGCAGUGAGGAAUAUUGGUCAAUGGGCGAGAGCCUGAACCAGCCAAGUAGCGUGCAGGAUGACGGCCCUAUGGGUUGUAAACUGCUUUUAUAAGGGAAUAAAGUGAGAGUCGUGACUCUUUUUGCAUGUACCUUAUGAAUAAGGACCGGCUAAUUCCGUGCCAGCAGCCGCGGUAAUACGGAAGGUCCGGGCGUUAUCCGGAUUUAUUGGGUUUAAAGGGAGCGUAGGCCGGAGAUUAAGCGUGUUGUGAAGUGUAGAUGCUCAACAUCUGCACUGCAGCGCGAACUGGUUUCCUUGAGUACGCACAAAGUGGGCGGAAUUCGUGGUGUAGCGGUGAAAUGCUUAGAUAUCACGAAGAACUCCGAUUGCGAAGGCAGCUCACUGGAGCGCAACUGACGCUGAAGCUCGAAAGUGCGGGUAUCGAACAGGAUUAGAUACCCUGGUAGUCCGCACGGUAAACGAUGGAUGCCCGCUGUUGGUCUGAAUAGGUCAGCGGCCAAGCGAAAGCAUUAAGCAUCCCACCUGGGGAGUACGCCGGCAACGGUGCAACUCAAAUGAAUUGACGGA